AACACGAGCCUGUCAUUAAGCUGCAGCGCACGCUGUGGUUAAGCAGAGGAGACGGUUCACUACAAUGGCUGAUACGUGAGGUAUGGAGAGGCUCCAGACCAUGCUGUUGUAACCGAGCUGCUACGAGCCCUUUGCACAGAGUGAAAGGUGCUUGGAGAGAAACGUUACAGUGUGAAACACCGCUGGCACCGCCCUCGGCUCUACAGCAGGAACCAAAGCCCGAAAUUACUCACGAGAGGACCACAAAGGCACGCUACCAGAAAGCUGUGUACUGCGCACGAUCGGAGGGCUGAGACCGGAGCACCUUCCGUGGGCAGCACACGAACACCACGAACGAGCAGCGGCGACAAACGCCCGUGUUCUCUGUACUCGAGCACUGAGAACGGUGUCGGAGAGCACCCGAGGAGGGAGAUGCCCCAAGUCAGACUUCCCCCAGAGGCAGAAGAGCAAAUGGCUGCAAGCGUCGCCCGUGCAGCCGCUCCUCCGCAGGCCAGCGCCAGCUGGGUUGCCCGCACGGCGCUGCUGCCCGACUGCUGCAGCGAGCCCGGCCCGUCGGGGAGCAGCCUGGGCCCUGCUCCGAGGGGGAUGGAAGGCAUCGGGAACCCCGCGGGUACGUCAGCGGGAGCUUUCUGCAGGCUGCGGCACCGCAGGUGUGCCCUAAUCCCGUCACUGCCCCCCGUUCAGCAGGGCUUCGGGGAAAACAAGCCAACCCCAUCUGUCCGAGGGACACGCAAGCUGCUGCUCGGCUGGAAGCGUAAUCCAGAGUCACGUCUCCUCACAGACCUGCUCAAAUAAUCAGCCCUGCCGAAAUGACAACCUGCCAUCUCAGCCCGCCUUUCAAUUUUAUUUCGUGUGAUUUUAAAUAGGGGCUUACAUAAUCCCCUGCCGAGUCCUUCCCAUAUGCAGGGACUUAAACUCCGGAAGAGGAAAUACCGUGAAGGAAUUUGUUACCUUGAUGGGUUCGGCACCAAAACACCAAAAAAGAAAAACACCUCCCCUCCUCCAGACUUUAUCUGCUCGUAUGCCACGCACAUACCUACAGUUUUUCUUAUGAAUAGAUAAAGUUAUCAUUCCUACCACAUCUCCGCAGCAGGAAACCUUUGCACCAGUCCACAGAGCACUGGUGAUACAGCAGCUGCGUGUACAGUUUUUUCUCCUCUCCUAGCUGACUGCAUUGCAGUGUUAGAGAGGUUGCAAGAUAACCAGGAUCGCUCCACGUGCCUCCUUGCACAGGUGGAACUGACCUACCUCUUCUGUCUGGCAACCAGCAGGGGAGAGACGUGAGUAGGAGAGCAAACAGGAUGCAGUAAACAAAGCAGCUUUGUUAUUGAUGCAAAUCUGGCUGCUGGAAAUGAAACCAACGUAGAAAACAAAGUUCCAGCCAGCUCCAGGGAUUCCAGGCUGACUGCAUCUGGCUGAUAGCUUCUCCCCUGCACGAACCUUCAGGUGGUGACUUGCUGCAGCGCUUCUGCUGGUGACGCCGUGUCCUCCAGAACGCGGCAGCGCUGACACAUCAGCCGCCUGUUUGUGGCCACGUUCCUCAAGUGACAGUGGCAAAGCGAGCUGUGGAAGCUCAUCGGUAGCGGGGUGAGACCUCCCUAGGGCUGGCGGCCACGUUUUGCCUGUAACAAGGACGUGUUCUGGGUUAAGGUGAGGCUUCAGUUCUGCACGCUCCUCUUGGUAUGUUUUGUAGGGGCUGAUUGAGAAACGCGGGGGCAGACCCUGCUAUUAGGGGCUGGGUGGAGGAAGGCUGCGGGCACCCUCGCAGCCGUGGCAGCUGUCUGCGCUGUACAAGGCACCGAUUCAAGGACUGAGUGAUUUCACUUUCUUUCCUCUGCUGAAGUGUGACUUACACACACCACCUCUUGCGAGAACAAAUUCCAGACCGUGGCUGGAUCCUGCUCGAAGGGAAUCCAAACCUUUAUUUCGACAUCCACGCCAAUGAAAUAGAAAAACGAAUGUGGUAACGGGGAGAAACGAGCUCUUUGGUAACUCCUUGGAGAGCACUGGCACUGCGCGGCCUUGGCCUGGCCGUGGAGCCGAACCUGGGAGGGCAGAAGCGAGAAGCAGCAGGGAGAGGCGGCCACGCUGAAGUGUGAAGCCAGAGGGGCUGCUGCGUCCCGCACCGGGGGCAGCCUUCGUUAGGGCCGGCUCCGCUCCCUUCCAGCAGACACGGUUGUUUUCUCCACUCCGUAAUGCCCCAAGCAGGAAGGGAAGAGGCAGCAGAGGCUGUUCUUCAUCGUCCUGCCCUCCCUCCUGCAUCGCUCGUGCUCUCCUUCCAAGCUUUCCUCCCUGCGGGAGGGCAGGGCUCUGCUGCAGCCCUUGCCUGAAGCAGCGUGCGGUACGGUGCCGCCCGCCCGCUGCGAGCGCGGCAGCUCGGCCUGCUCCGCCAGCUCGCCCGGUGGCUCACCCAUGUGUCCUCAAUUGCCAGGAAAGCUCUGUGGGCUGUGCUGGGGAGGGAUUUCCAAAAACUUCUGACCUUUGCUCAGGGGAUCUGCUCUUCCUACAGCUAUCCACCUUGACGCACAGUAGCGUACUUGAGCUGCUGACGAUGACUGAAGGCGAGCAAGCUGCUGCAGAGCAUCAACAAGGAGCAGCCUUUGGGGCUGUCGGUGAUGUGCAACCACUUCUUGGAGGCACACCCCCAUCCUCCCUGCUGCAGAGCACUUCUGUGUCAGCCUCCCACCUCGCUACCUUGCAGGCUGGGCCUCUCGGUCCAAGUUCUGCCGUGAAUCUCACUGUUAGGGCAGGGUGGGAAGGGAGCUCGCCUCUGUGCAGCCUCUGGUUGGCCACCUCUGAUCUAAUAACUCCGGGACGCCGGGUGACGAUGUUGUUGCCCCUGUUCCCUUUCAGAAAACUAUAAAUAAAGUUACUGCUGUAUCAAGCUAAUUCAGCGAGCCUGCAGCAGGCUCUUGGGAAAGACUUUGGGACAUUAGAGGCAGCGUUUAACAAGACUUUCAGCCAUAAGAUGAAACGAUAAGGGUAAUGACACCGCAGUGCUGCUCUUCGUUCCUCUGGGGGUUGUGCGGAAAUCAUCCCUACCACAAAUAAUCUGACAAAAAGAAUCACCCACCAAAAGCACAGAUUAAUGCCUGGAGAAGCUGCAGACACUGCUGCCUUUAGCAGGGAAGAAGGGGGGCAUUCACUGGGGCUGGGCCCUUGCUUUCUGCAUGCGGCCCCCAGCCAGCACCCCGUCCUCGGUACCACCACAGGGCAUCACUCCGCUGAUCGUGGUCUGCGUUCUCUCCCCGCAGAGCCACCGAUCCUCCCAGUUCACAGUGAAGCACAGAUGGCUUGGCCUGGCUGCCCUCUGCCUGACAAGAGGACGGAACAAAAUAGCCGUCAGGCAUUUACCAGUCCCAGGACAUUCAGCUUUUUCCUGGCUUACCUCCGACCGGGCCAUUUUUGUGGGCUGACCACCACAUGUGAUCCCAGACGCAUCCAAAGAGCUGCAAAGGUCAGUCCCGUGCGCGCAGCCCGCUCCGUCACUGACGUGGCAUCUACCGGGCUCCUUGGGGACAGCAGCUGGCCGCCAGCCUGCGGAGCACAAGGCUGGGGCUCCUGGCUUCAGGCAGGCUGAGUUCCCUUCCAGAUCCCUUCCGAAACACGGCCACCACCCCUGGAGCAAGGCGAGGGCUCCUGGAGCCUCUGCUUGGGAGCGGAUGGGGGCCCCCUAACCCCAACACCCCCCUAAACAAGCACCCUCGGUGCUGCUGAUGAGCUGCGUUCAUCCCCAACCUUCAGCUGCUGAG